CUCGCGGCCUAUCAGCUUGUUGGUGGGGUAACGGCCCACCAAGGCGACGACGGGUAGCCGGCCUGAGAGGGCGACCGGCCACACUGGGACUGAGACCGGCCCAGACUCCUACGGGAGGCAGCAGUGGGGAAUAUUGCACAAUGGGCGCAAGCCUGAUGCAGCGACGCCGCGUGAGGGAUGAAGGCCUUCGGGUUGUAAACCUCUUUCAGCAGGGAAGAAGCGCAAGUGACGGUACCUGCAGAAGAAGCGCCGGCUAACUACGUGCCAGCAGCCGCGGUAAUACGUAGGGCGCAAGCGUUGUCCGGAAUUAUUGGGCGUAAAGAGCUCGUAGGCGGUUUGUCGCGUCUGCUGUGAAAACUCGAGGCUCAACCUCGGGCUUGCAGUGGGUACGGGCAGACUAGAGUGCGGUAGGGGAGACUGGAAUUCCUGGUGUAGCGGUGGAAUGCGCAGAUAUCAGGAGGAACACCGAUGGCGAAGGCAGGUCUCUGGGCCGCAACUGACGCU
rnacentral:rRNA from 1 species